UACGUAGGUGACCAGCGUUGUCCGGAUUUACUGGGCGUAAAGAGCGCGCAGGCGGUCGUUCAAGUCGAGUGUGAAAGCCCCCCGGCUCAACUGGGGAGGGUCAUUCGAUACUGAUCACUGGAAGGCAGGAGAGGGAAGCGGAAUUCCCGGUGUAGCGGUGAAAUGCGUAGAUAUCGGAAGGAACACCAGUGGCGAAAAGCGGCUUCCUGGUCCAGCACCGACGUUCAGGCACAAAGCGUGGGGGAGCAAACAGG
rnacentral:rRNA from 1 species